UGGGAGCCCAGAGCGAUGCUGCUCAGAAGU
rnacentral:piRNA from 1 species